CAUGUCUUAAAGAAAUUAAUUUUAAGUCUAAUCUGCCCAAUGAUUUUAUUAAAUGGCUGCAGUAUCCUAACUGUACAAAGGUAGCAUAAUAAUUUGUUUUUUAAUUAAAAACUAGAAUGAAAGAUUAAAUGAGAUAAAAACUGUUUCAAUUAAAAUAAAAUUUAAUUUUUUAUUUAAGUAAAAAAACUUAAAUUUUAUAUAAAGACGAUAAGACCCUAUAGAAUUUUAUUUAUUAAUAAUUUAUUAUUUUAAUUAAUUAAUAAAUUUAAUUGGGGUAAUUAAAAAAUUAAAUAAAUUUUUUUUUAAAAAAUACAUUUAUUUAUGAAUAAAGAAUCUUAAUUUUUAAAUUAAAAAAAUUAAUUACCUUAGGGAUAACAGCAUAAUUUUUUUUGAAAGUUCAUAUUUAUAAAAAAGAUUAUGACCUCGAUGUUGAAUUAAGAUAAAAUUUAAAUGCAAAAAUUUAAAAAUUUAAGUC
rnacentral:rRNA from 1 species